UACGUAGGGGGCUAGCGUUGUCCGGAUUUAUUGGGCGUAAAGAGCGUGUAGGCGGCCAGGUAGGUCUGGUGUGAAAACUCGAGGCUUAACCUCGAGAUGUCAUCGGAAACCAUCUGGCUAGAGUCCGGAAGAGGAGAGUGGAAUUCCUGGUGUAGCGGUGAAAUGCGCAGAUAUCAGGAAGAACACCAAUGGCGAAAGCAGCUCUCUGGGACGGUACUGACGCUGAGGAGCGAAAGCGUGGGGAGCGAACAGG
rnacentral:rRNA from 1 species